rnacentral:rRNA from 1 species
AGUGAACGCUGGCGGUAGGCCUAACACAUGCAAGUCGAACGGCAGCACAGAGGAGCUUGCUCCUUGGGUGGCGAGUGGCGGACGGGUGAGGAAUACAUCGGAAUCUACUCUGUCGUGGGGGAUAACGUAGGGAAACUUACGCUAAUACCGCAUACGACCUACGGGUGAAAGCAGGGGACCUUCGGGCCUUGCGCGAUUGAAUGAGCCGAUGUCGGAUUAGCUAGUUGGCGGGGUAAAGGCCCACCAAGGCGACGGUCCGUAGCUGGUCUGAGAGGAUGAUCAGCCACACUGGAACUGAGACACGGUCCAGACUCCUACGGGAGGCAGCAGUGGGGAAUAUUGGACAAUGGGCGCAAGCCUGAUCCAGCCAUACCGCGUGGGUGAAGAAGGCCUUCGGGUUGUAAAGCCCUUUUGUUGGGAAAGAAAUCCAGCUGGCUAAUACCCGGUUGGGACGACGGUACCCAAAGAAUAAGCACCGGCUAACUUCGUGCCAGCAGCCGCAGUAA